AUUAGAUUUAUUUAUAUACAUAUAUGAAAACAUAUAUUUAGUAAAAGCAAACAUACGAACACACUUUGCUUCAGCAGUUUAUUGUGCUUUCGCAAAAUUUUGCGCAGGGUAUAUUAAUUAUGUUCACUUAACGAAGUUGGGUCCUUGACCCUCUGCAACUGCAUAGGAGUUAUAUCGGACCAAUCCCACACCCACAAAAUGUGAUUAUUUAAAACUAAUAAGAAAGAGCUAAGUUCGGGAGCAACGGAACAUUUUAUUUUAUCGCAAGGAUCAAAGCCGGGAAAAUUUCAGGUGUUGACAAACUUGGUAUUAAAAAAUGUUGCAAAAGAACUCAACAUUCCUUAUUCGACUUAAGGGUGAAAGGAUUACUAUCGUCUUUGAUAUCUUCGUAGACUCACUUAUACUAUACAUCACUAAAUUUAUAUUCGAUAUAUUGGUAUUAAAAUCCACCUAAAGCCAAUAUUGAUCAAGAUAAACGGCUUCAAGUCAUCGGGUAUAUUUGGGCUACGAAAAGGUCUCCACUAAUUGCGUUAAUUUGUGGUAUUACUCAAGUGUAUUCGGGAACAAGUUUCCAUGCAAUUUUAUAAAGAGAACACAUCUACUGACCUAUAUAUGUGGCAUAUAGUCUGCUAAAAUCAUUAUAAUUUCUGAUAUAUGUAUAUGGAAGCCAUUUUCAUAAAACUACUAGUGGACCACGCCUUGCUGUGUCUAAGGAUCACUAGCUGGCCAACCUGAAGCUUCAAUUUCAUUGAAAUCAGUCCUCCCGUUUCGGAGUUUAUAAGGAACAUGCGUACAAACUUUCUCUUUUAUACAUAUAUAACAACAAUCAACGCUGAUGAUCAAUUCAUUAUUAAUUAGUAAUUAUUAAUGGUCUCCAUUCACAUAAAUAAUAACUAUCCUACCAUUUAAGUUGGACAAAAUUACAUAUAUAUGCCAACUUUCAUGAAUAUCAAUCGACUUGUUUUUGAGUUCAUUCGGAACAUACACACGGACACUGAAUUUGUAUAUAUUAUAUAUUAUAUUAUCUUAAUAUCCAAUACUAAAAGUUUAUUUGAUCUUGCUAAAAUAUCUUACAAAUUGACCGAUAUACGUGAUUGUGCCACGCCCACUUUAAACAUUUUUUUAAAACCACAGGUACUCCAACCUAAUUCGACUUGUUGUACGAAAUAAAAAAAUUUUAUCUCAUUGGGGAGUUUAUUAAUGACAACUUAGAGGUUUUAGAUUACUUGUAUUUUGUAGGCGUGGAAAUAGGCCGAUUAUGCUCAUAUGCGACACUAACUUUCUCAUGGUGCACAGAAUCAACAGUACAAAGUUUCAUCAAGAUAUUUGAAUGUUUGCUAAUGUCAUUUGACUAUUUCAUACCAUAGACGUAAAUCAAGUAAAAACACUAUUCAACAGUUAGGCUUGAAACUAUUAAAAGUGACAUACCUGUCCAACUAAUAAUGCGUGGAACAAAAUGUAUGAAAGAAAUUAUUCAGCGUUAUAACAUGUGGACCAGCUGAAAAAUAGGACAAUAGGCAUGACACUGGCGGCUUUUAAGAGAAAUUUCAUUUUCAUUUCAAAACCUUUCCCUGUCCCAACAUACAACAGUACAUUGCUUCAUUAUUUUUCGGGUUUUUUUCGGUUAAUUAUGUGACAUAAUAUCGAGCUAUAUGAAUGAAGUAUCUUACACCCUGUUGUAAAAGGCUACUGUUAUACUAGUAAUAUUUCAC